CUUGCUUCUCUUGAGAGCGGCUGACGGGUGAGUAAUGCCUAGGAAUCUGCCUGGUAGUGGGGGAUAACGUCCGGAAACGGACGCUAAUACCGCAUACGUCCUACGGGAGAAAGCAGGGGACCUUCGGGCCUUGCGCUAUCAGAUGAGCCUAGGUCGGAUUAGCUAGUUGGUGGGGUAAUGGCUCACCAAGGCGACGAUCCGUAACUGGUCUGAGAGGAUGAUCAGUCACACUGGAACUGAGACACGGUCCAGACUCCUACGGGAGGCAGCAGUGGGGAAUAUUGGACAAUGGGCGAAAGCCUGAUCCAGCCAUGCCGCGUGUGUGAAGAAGGUCUUCGGAUUGUAAAGCACUUUAAGUUGGGAGGAAGGGCAGUAAAUUAAUACUUUGCUGUUUUGACGUUACCGACAGAAUAAGCACCGGCUAACUCUGUGCCAGCAGCCGCGGUAAUACAGAGGGUGCAAGCGUUAAUCGGAAUUACUGGGCGUAAAGCGCGCGUAGGUGGUUCGUUAAGUUGGAUGUGAAAUCCCCGGGCUCAACCUGGGAACUGCAUUCAAAACUGACGAGCUAGAGUAUGGUAGAGGGUGGUGGAAUUUCCUGUGUAGCGGUGAAAUGCGUAGAUAUAGGAAGGAACACCAGUGGCGAAGGCGACCACCUGGACUGAUACUGACACUGAGGUGCGAAAGCGUGGGGAGCAAACAGGAUUA
rnacentral:rRNA from 1 species